rnacentral:lncRNA from 1 species
CUUGCUUCCGGAAGUCGCUUGCUGAGGCGGUCUUCCUAUUCGUGUGGUCUUUGUGACUUCCACCAUGGCGUACCGCGGCCAGGGCCAGAAGGUGCAGAAGGUGAUGGUGCAGCCCAUCGUAUCCUCCGCGGCGUGAACUCUGGGCUUUGGGUCCGUAGGCGCUGUGAGCGUGGGCGGGGAACAGGGCAACCUGGUACGGGCCGCUUCCCGUGAGGCCCCGGGGCGUACUGAGGAGGCCGGAAAGCGCGCGGAGUUGAAGGGCCGCGGGAGGCGGGCUCGGGUGUACUGUGGCGGGCAUGCGGUACGGAAUGGAAGUGGGGUCGACAGAAUAGGAGAAGAGGAUGUGGGUCAUCAGGAAGUUUUGAGAAACGAGGCCGGUGGGGAGGGAGUGCCUUUCGAGUUUCUAGUGCAUCCCGAGUGCUUGCUGCAGAUGGACACUAGUGCUUGCGUGUGUAGCCCGGCCUGGCCUUAGGGCGCUGGAGAGUCAGACAAGAUUGGGAGCAGAGUAACUACUGUUUGUAUGUUUUCCUUGAUCGCUGUGGUACACAGAACCUUAUCUUCAGAUACUUGCAAAAUAGAUCUCGAAUUCAGGUGUGGCUGUAUGAACAAGUGAAUAUGCGGAUAGAGGGUUGUAUUAUUGGCUUUGAUGAGUACAUGAACCUCGUAUUAGAUGAUGCAGAAGAAAUUCAUUCUAAAACAAAGUCAAGAAAACAACUGGGUCGGAUCAUGCUCAAAGGAGAUAAUAUUACUCUGCUCCAAAGCGUUUCCAACUAGCAGUGGCCAAGCAUGGGAGAGGUUGAGAAGGGGCUCAGGGGCUGCUGGUGACUACAUUUACUCAUCCUGUUUCACUUGUACAUUCUCAUUGGGGUAAAAAUAAAUGUGAGCUUGUUUUUGUUAC